rnacentral:rRNA from 1 species
CGGGACGGGUGAGUAACGCGUGGAUAACCUGCCUCACACUGGGGGAUAACAGUUAGAAAUGGCUGCUAAUACCGCAUAAGCGCACAGUACCGCAUGGUACGGUGUGAAAAACCCAGGUGGUGUGAGAUGGAUCCGCGUCUGAUUAGCCAGUUGGCGGGUAACGGCCCACCAAGCCGACGAUCAGUAGCCGACCUGAGAGGGUGACCGGCCACAUUGGGACUGAGACACGGCCCAA